UGUGUAUAGGUUGGUAGAGGGUGUGUAUAGGUUGGUAGAGGGUGUGUAUAGGUUGGUAGAGGGUGUGUAUAGGUUGGUAGAGAGUGUGUAUAGGUUGGUAGUUGGUAGAGAGUGUGUAUAGGUUGGUAGAGAGUGUGUAUAGGUUGGUAGUUGGUAGAGAGUGUGUAUAGGUUGGUAGAGAGUGUGUAUAGGUUGGUAGAGGGUGUGUAUAGGUUGGUAGAGAGUGUGUAUAGGUUGGUAGUUGGUAGAGAGUGUGUAUAGGUUGGUAGAGAGUGUGUAUAGGUUGGUAGUUGGUAGAGAGUGUGUAUAGGUUGGUAGAGAGUGUGUAUAGGUUGGUAGAGUGUGUAUAGGUUGGUAGAGAGUGUGUAUAGGUUGGUAGAGAGUGUGUAUAGGUUGAUAGAGAGUGUGUAUAGGUUGAUAGAGAGUGUGUAUAGGUUGAUAGAGAGUGUGUAUAGGUUGGUAGAGAGUGUGUAUAGGUUGGUAGAGAGUGUGUAUAGGUUGGUAGAGAGUGUGUAUAGGUUGGUAGAGAGUGUGUAUUGGUUGGUAGAGAGUGUGUAUAGGUUGGUAGAGAGUGUGUAUAGGUUGGUAGAGAGUGUGUAUUGGUUGGUAGAGAGUGUAUAGGUUGGUAGAGAGUGUGUAUAGGUUGGUAGAGAGUGUGUAUAGGUUGAUAGAGAGUGUGUAUAGGUUGGUAGAGAGUGUGUAUAGGUUGGUAGAGAGUGUUUAUAGGUUGAUAGAGAGUGUGUAUAGGUUGGUAGAGAGUGUGUAUAGGUUGAUAGAGAGUGUGUAUAGGUUGAUAGAGAGUGUGUAUAGGUUGGUAGAGAGUGUGUAUAGGUUGAUAGAGAGUGUGUAUAGGUUGAUAGAGAGUGUGUAUAGGUUGAUAGAGAGUGUGUAUAGGUUGGUAGAGAGUGUGUAUAGGUUGAUAGAGAGUGUGUAUAGGUUGGUAGAGAGUGUGUAUAGGUUGGUAGAGAGUGU